AGCGGCGGACGGGUGAGUAACGCGUGGGUAACCUGCCUUAUACAGGGGGAUAACAGUUAGAAAUGACUGCUAAUACCGCAUAAGCGCACAGUACCGCAUAGUAGUGUGUGAAAAACUCCGGUGGUAUAAGAUGGACCCGCGUCUGAUUAGCCAGUUGGCGGGGUAACGGCCCACCAAAGCGACGAUCAGUAGCCGACCUGAGAGGGUGACCGGCCACAUUGGGACUGAGACACGGCCCAAACUCCUACGGAAGGCAGCAG
rnacentral:rRNA from 1 species